GAGCAGGAUGAAGCCAGAGGAAACUCUGGUGGAAGUCCGUAUCGGUUCUGACGUGCAAAUCGAUCGAUAGACUUGGGUAUAGGGGCGAAAGACUAAUCGAACCAUCUAGUAGCUGGUUCCUUCCGAAGUUUCCCUCAGGAUAGCUGGAACUCUUGCAGUUAUAUUCGGUAAAGCUAAUGAUUAGAGGCCUUGGGGACGUAAUGUCCUCAACCUAUUCUCAAACUUUCAAUGGAUAUGGCGUCGCAGUUUCUUUAGUGAACUGCGGCGUGAAUGCGAGUUCCAAGUGGGCCAUUUUUGGUAAGCAGAACUGGCGCUGUGGGAUGAACCAAACGUGGAGUUAAGGUGCCUAACUUCUCGCUUAUGAGACCCCAUAAAAGGUGUUGGUUGAUAUUGACAGCAGGACGGUGGCCAUGGAAGUCGGUACCCGCUAAGGAGUGUGUAACAACUCACCUGCCGAAUCAACUAGCCCUAGAAAAUGGAUGGCGCUUAAGCGAGAGACCUAUACUCCGCCGUCGCGGCAUGUGCGUUGUCUAGCGCCAGGUCGCGACGAGUAGGAAGGACGUGGCGGUUGCGUUGAAGGCUAUGAGCGUAGGCUCGGCUGGAGCUUCCGUCAGUGCAGAUCGUAAUGGUAGUAGCAAAUAUUCAAGUUCGAUCCUUGAAGACUGAAGUGGAGAAGGGUUCCACGUGAACAGUAGUUGGAUGUGGGUCAGUCGAUCCUAAGGUACUGGCGAAAGCCUUGUAUCAUCGGUGGCGAAAAGCUUGCUUUUUGUCCCCGCCCGUCGAAAGGGAAUAGGGUUAAUAUUCCCUAACUGAGAUGCAAAGAUUGUGUUCUUCGGAGCACAAGCGCGGUAACGCGUUCGAACUUGGUAAGUCGCUCAGAGACCGAGCUAGAGUUUUCUUCUCUAGUUAAGGAACGGACUCCCUGGAAUUGGUUCAGCCAGAGAUGGGGACGUUGUUUCCGAAAAGCACCGCGGUUUCUGUGGUGUCUCGUGCUCUCUGAACGGCCCUUUAAACACCAAGGGAGGCUAUUAAUUUGCACUCAAUCGUACCGAUAUCCGCAUUAGGUCUCCAAGGUGAACAGCCUCUAGUCGAUAGAAUAAUGUAGGUAAGGGAAGUCGGCAAACUAGAUCCGUAACUUCGGGAAAAGGAUUGGCUCCAGUGGUCGGAACGGUUGGCCAGUUGGUUGAUGCUUGUCCGGCGCUGUUCUGUCUGCUUGAUGCUUUCGGGCUGAUGGCGGCCUAGUGAUAGUGCUUGCUUGUUGACGCUUUCUGGUGUGUGCUUUGACCUCGGUCUUAGUAUCCUGAUCGUUCAUCUAAACGACUAAACUGGAACCGGUACGGACUCAUGGAAUCCGACUGUCUAAUUAAAACAGAGGUGACAGAUGGUCCUUGCGGACGUUGACUGUCACUGAUUUCUGCCCAGUUGCUCUGAAUGUAAAUCGUAGUAAUUCGAGUAAGCGCGGUAAACGCGGGAGUAACUAUGACUCUCUUA
rnacentral:ncRNA from 1 species